rnacentral:rRNA from 1 species
UACAGAGGUGGCGAGCGUUGUUCGGAUUGAUUGGGUGUAAAGGGUGCGUAGGCGGUUUGGAAAGUUGGAUGUGAAAUCCUAUGGCUCAACCAUAGAAUUGCAUUCAAAACUUCUAGACUAGAGUGCGAGAGAGGUGAAGGGAAUUCCCGGUGUAAGGGUGAAAUCUGUAGAGAUCGGGAGGAACACCAGCAGCGAAGGCGCUUCACUGGCUCGCAACUGACGCUGAGUGCACGAAAGCGUGGGGAGCAAACGGG